GACGAACGCUGGCGGCGUGCUUAACACAUGCAAGUCGAACGGAAAGGCCCUGCUUUUGUGGGGUGCUCGAGUGGCGAACGGGUGAGUAACACGUGAGUAACCUGCCCUUGACUUUGGGAUAACUUCAGGAAACUGGGGCUAAUACCGGAUAGGAGCUCCUGCUGCAUGGUGGGGGUUGGAAAGUUUCGGCGGUUGGGGAUGGACUCGCGGCUUAUCAGCUUGUUGGUGGGGUAGUGGCUUACCAAGGCUUUGACGGGUAGCCGGCCUGAGAGGGUGACCGGGCACAUGGGUACUGAGAUACGGCCCAGACUCCUACGGUAGGCAGCAGUGGGGAGUAUUGCACAGCGGGCGGAAGCCUGAUGCAGCAGCGCCGCGUGCGGGAUGACGUCCUUCGGGGUGUAAACCGCUUUCGCCUGUGACGAAGCGUGAGUGACGGUAAUGGGUAAAGAAGCACCGGCUAACUACGUG
rnacentral:rRNA from 1 species